GUUAAUAAAGGCAACAGUAGUAUACCGCUGUUUAAACUCAUAAAUCCAUGGACAAAAAACAAAAUCGGGGUAACAAACUAAAACUGUGGGAAACGCAUAAAUGUAAGAGGAGAACAACGACACAACACUACAAUGUACCUAACACACACAGAAACGGACCAAGCAUCAGACAAAAUCCCACGAGAAUAACAAAUAUAACAUCAAAACCAAAUACAUGAAUUUGGGAUAGACAAGUACCGUGACACGUCUUAUCGCAACGUCAAUUUACACUAAAAAAUAAUAG
rnacentral:lncRNA from 1 species